CCGAUCUGGCGAAGAGCUUGACGGGGAGCGUCGCCUUCACGCGCCGGACGAGGGGGAUGGUGACCCGUGGCCGCUUCACAGGAACCACCCUGGGCACCGGAGAGACUCGGCCCCGCAUUUGGGCACCUCCACCUCACUCCAGGGCUCCGCUACAGCACCAACAGGAUGAAGCCUGGCCUCAAGUACCUGUAGAUCCAACCUGGUGUGGACUGGAGAAGGAUGGAGAAGUCUAAAACCUCAGCCUGGAAGUGUGAAAUAUUGGUCAUUUCAACAGAAAUGGAUUAGUGGUCAAGGCACGGACAAAGAAUAAGUGAAAUGCUCUUUAUUGCAAGAUGUAUGGAAUGAAUUGAUUAGCAUUAUGGCUACCAGCACCACGUAAGUACUAUACGUGCAGCUAAACAGAAAGAUUUGUGUCAUCUCUGUUUCCAUACAUCAGCGUGGGUAAUGCACAGACAGACCGCUUCUCCUCGACUGGCGUCCCCUGUGAACCCUGAGGGCCAGGUUCUGGUGAAGGGCCAAGCUGGCCCAAGGCGGGAGGAAUAAUUUGCCUGGUGAGAGCUGCAAAGGAAGAGCUCGGC